UUUCCGUAGGUGAACCUGCGGAAGGAUCAUUACGAGGAGUUUGAUAUCUUUUAAGAUGUCUACCUUCCACCCUUUUGUUAUAUGAAAAUCAUAUUGCUUCGGCAGACCGUUUCUUUACUGAGACCAUUGACUUAUAAAGUGGAUGUGUUGUCUGCCGAAGAUUUUAACUCUUGAACUUAUGAUGUCUGAGUUUUUUAUACAAAAAAUAAAAACUUUCAACAACGGAUCUCUUGGUUCUGGCAUCGAUGAAGAACGCAGC
rnacentral:misc_RNA from 1 species